GUGGGUUUUUGUCUUUGGUUAUCUAGCUGUAUGAGUGUAUGUGAUAUCAUAAAGCUAGACAACCGAAUGUAAAAACCGGCUCGC
rnacentral:ncRNA from 2 species